UCGGGAGGCUGAGGCAGGAGAAUGGCGUGAACCUGGGAGGCGGAGCUUGCAGUGAGCUGAGAUCGCGCCACUGCACUCCAGCCUGGGUGACAGAGCGAGACUCCAACAACAACAACAACAAAAAUAUAUAUAUAUUAGCUGGGUGUGGUGGCAGGCAUCUGCAGUCCCAGCUACUCAGGAGGCUGAGGAAGGAGAAUGGCAUGAACCCAGGAAGCAGAGUUUGCAGUGAACUGAGAUCACGCCACUGCACUCCAGUCUGGGAGACAGAGCAAGACUCCAUCUCAAAAAAAAAAAAAAAAAAAAAAAAACCAUAUGAAUGCGGCCGGGCACGGUGGAUUACCUGAGGUCAGGAGUUCGAGACCAGCCUGGCCAACAUGAUGAAACCCCGUCUCUACUAAAAAAAAUACAAAAGUUAGCUGGGCAUGGUGGCACACGCCUGUAAUCCCAGCUACUUGGGAGGCUGAGGCAGGAGAAUUGCUUAAGCCCAGGAGACAGAGGUUGCAGUGAGCCGAGGUCGUGCCACUGCACUCCAGCCUAGCUGACAGAGCAAGCUCUGUCUCAAAAAAAUAAAUAAAUAAAUAAAUAAAGAUAUUAAUGCAUCUAAAGAUAAUUACUCUGUCGCCCAGGCUGGAGUGCAGUGGAGUGAUCUCAGGUCACUGCAACCUCCACCUCCUGGGUUCAAGCGAUUCUCUAGCCUCACUCCUCCCCAUGUGCAUCUCAAAAGGAACCCUGAGAUGCAAAAUGACCACAUAUUCCAGGUCAUAAAACCCCACUCUGGCACUGAGUGUCAUUUCACUCCUCCAUACUCUCAAGAAGUGAUGUGCAUUCUUAC
rnacentral:lncRNA from 10 species